rnacentral:lncRNA from 1 species
AGAAUUUAGUGCAGAAAUUGUGCAAUUCUUGGGCACCAAAGGGAGAGGAAAAAUGACGAUAUAAUUGGAGAAAACCUUGGGGAGCCGUGAGGCAAGGAACCAAGGGGUUGAUGCAAUUUUUCCUUCUCUUUAUUCUUCGUUUUUAUCUUGUAUUUAGUUUGAUAUUUUAUUUAUGUCUAGUUCAAUUAUGUUAAGGAGGAAAUACCAUGAAAUGAAGUUCUAGUUUUUAUCUUUCAC